UACGGGGGGGGCAAGCGUUGUUCGGAAUUACUGGGCGUAAAGGGCUCGUAGGCGGCCAACUAAGUCGGAUGUGAAAUCCCCAGGCUCAACCUGGGAACUGCAUCCGAUACUGGAGGGCUUGAAUCCGGGAGAGGGAUGCAGAAUUCCAGGUGUAGCGGUGAAAUGCGUAGAUAUCUGGAGGAAUACCGGUGGCGAAGGCGGCAUCCUGGACCGGCAUUGACGCUGAGGAGCGAAAGCUAGGGGAGCAAACGGG
rnacentral:rRNA from 1 species